rnacentral:rRNA from 1 species
UACGUAGGAGACGAGCGUUGUCCGGAAUUACUGGGCGUAAAGCGCGUGUAGGCGGAUGAGCAAGUCUGCUGUGAAAGCUCCUGGCUUAACCGGGAGUGGUCGGUGGAAACUGCUCGUCUGGAGGACGGUAGAGGUAGGUAGAAUUCCCGGUGUAGUGGUGAAAUGCGUAGAGAUCGGGAGGAACACCAAUUGCGAAGGCAGCUCGCUGGGACGUAACUGACGCUGAGACGCGAAAAGCGUGGGGAGCAAACAGG